GAUGAACGCUGACAGAAUGCUUAACACAUGCAAGUCAACUUGAACUUCGGUUUGGGUGGCGGACGGGUGAGUAACGCGUAAAGAACUUGCCUCACAGAUAGGGACAACAUUUGGAAACGAAUGCUAAUACCUGAUAUUAUGAUUUUAGGGCAUCCUAGGAUUAUGAAAGCUAUAUGCGCUGUGAGAGAGCUUUGCGUCCCAUUAGCUAGUUGGAGAGGUAACGGCUCACCAAGGCGAUGAUGGGUAGCCGGCCUGAGAGGGUGAUCGGCCACAAGGGGACUGAGACACGGCCCUUACUCCUACGGGAGGCAGCAGUGGGGAAUAUUGGACAAUGGACCAAGAGUCUGAUCCAGCAAUUCUGUGUGCACGAUGAAGUUUUUCGGAAUGUAAAGUGCUUUCAGUUGGGAAGAAAAAAAUGACGGUACCAACAGAAGAAGUGACGGCUAAAUACGUGCCAGCAGCCGCGGUAAUACGUAUGUCACAAGCGUUAUCCGGAUUUAUUGGGCGUAAAGCGCGUCUAGGUAGUUAUGUAAGUCUGAUGUGAAAAUGCAGGGCUCAACUCUGUAUUGCGUUGGAAACUGUGUAACUAGAGUACUGGAGAGGUAAGCGGAACUACAAGUGUAGAGGUGAAAUUCGUAGAUAUUUGUAGGAAUGCCGAUGGGGAAGCCAGCUUACUGGACAGAUACUGACGCUGAAGCGCGAAAGCGUGGGUAGCAAACAGG
rnacentral:rRNA from 1 species